rnacentral:rRNA from 1 species
ACUACGGGGGGCAGCAGUGGGGAAUAUUGGGCAAUGGAGGCAACUCUGACCCAGCAAUGCCGCGUGAGUGAUGAAGGCAAUCUUAUUGUAAAGCUCUUUUCUUUGGAACGAAUAAAUGACGGUACCAAAGGAAUAAGCCCCGGCUAACUACGUGCCAGCAGCCGCGGUAAUACGUAGGGGGCAAGCGUGGCUCGGAAUGACUUGGGGUUAAGGGUUUGUAGGUGGUUUGGUAGGUUAAGUGUGUAAUACCCAGGGCUUAACUCGGGUGUUGCAUCUAAAACUGUUAGACUUGAGUACUGGAGAGGUAAGUGGAAUUCCUGGUGUAGCGGUGGAAUGCGUAGAGAUGAGGAGGAAC